GAUGAACGCUGGCGGCGUGCCUAAUACAUGCAAGUCGAGCGAACAGACGAGGAGCUUGCUCCUCUGACGUUAGCGGCGGACGUGUGAGUAACACGUGGAUAACCUACCUAUAAGACUGGGAUAACUUCGGGAAACCGGAGCUAAUACCGGAUAAUAUAUUGAACCGCAUGGUUCAAUAGUGAAAGACGGUUUUGCUGUCACUUAUAGAUGGAUCCGCGCCGCAUUAGCUAGUUGGUAAGGUAACGGCUUACCAAGGCAACGAUGCGUAGCCGACCUGAGAGGGUGAUCGGCCACACUGGAACUGAGACACGGUCCAGACUCCUACGGGAGGCAGCAGUAGGUAAUCUUCCGCAAUGGGCGAAAGCCUGACGGAGCAACGCCGCGUGAGUGAUGAAGGUCUUCGGAUCGUAAAACUCUGUUAUUAGGGAAGAACAAAUGUGUAAGUAACUAUGCACGUCUUGACGGUACCUAAUCAGAAAGCCACGGCUAACUACGUG
rnacentral:rRNA from 1 species